ncrna:unclassified sequences DTF3800-I RNA
UUUGUAUGCAGACAGGCGACUGUGCUGUAUAAUCGCGGGGUCUGAAUUAACGUUUAAGUGGCGUGUUCCGCCAUCAGCCGCGAUGCCAUCGAAAAUUAUUCGAUGGUUUUUUCUUUU